CUUGGCGCUCCAUCUGGCAGCCGCUAUGGUGCUCCGGCUGUGCAGAUCGGGUGCCGAUCUGUGAAGCCGUGAGGAACCAUAGUGUUGUUUGGUCGUUGACCUCGUCGACUGCUCUGGUGCUCCGGUCUUGCUGCAGACCGUCGAGGGAUCAGAGCAGCGCCGAUGGCCGACGAUGAGGGCACUCCAUCAACGAUUCAUAUUCUUUCUAAGUUUUAAGAUUGUUUGAUAUGUGAAACUGUGUAAAUGUGAUUCAUAUUUUAAAUUUUAAGAUCAUCUCAUUAUGAGUUGAA